rnacentral:lncRNA from 1 species
AGGUCCCAGCCAGAGACAGAGGGAGGGUCUCCCGCCCCAUCCCAGGAUGCUCCUAGCACCCCAGCGCUGGAGCUGCUCAGGGAGAGGGAGGCCAGGCAGGGCUAGGAGAUGGGCUUCCAGGAAGGCUGGGGUGAGGGCCUUCGGUGGGCUGGAGGGCUGAGAGCCACCUCUCCCAGGGAAGCUGGGAGUCAGGGGUGGGGAGGGGACCCUAUUUCCACCGUGGACAAAUAAAUCUCUCCUCCUGGGCACAGAAACCUGGGCAGGGCUUCCAGGCUUGAGCUCAUCCUGGAGAGGACAGAGAUCCUGGGGUGGCUGGGGCUCCUGGAAAGGCAGGAGCCUGUGGACACCCCCAGCUCACCUCCCACCCACACCCAGGGAAGGGGUCUCUCACCACCACCCUGUGUCCCCCAGGUCCCUUCCCUUGGACAGGCUAAGAGCUGAAGCUGGGCAGAGAAGGGGCCUGGAGCUGGAGGAAGGGCGCCAGGGAAUCGCCAGGCCUUGGAGGGAAGCUUCAGGCCAGGGAGGAGCAUGAGAACUUCCUCCCCCAGGAAUCCUGUCCCUGACAGACUCCACUUAUGACCUGGGGUGCUGGAGAGGCUGGCUGGAGACUUAAGUAUGAAAGCGGGGCCCCUUCGCUGCCGAAGCCUCGACGCCGAGCCCGGAAAGGAUUACGGUCCUGCUUGCCAUCCUCCGGAAGGCUGGUCUGCCCUGGCUUUUGGUCCCUUGAGUUGUCUCUUGCCCUGCUCCAUGGCCCAGGCUGUAUCCUGGUGCAGGUCCAAACUCAACGCAUUUUCUACAACCUCAGCCCAGACUCCACGACGAUGGUCCCCGUCCUCCUUCAAUCAUCCCCGGUUUUCCUUGUAAAACCACCUUCCCCCUGCAGGUCCCGCCCCCUACGGCCGAGCCCCCCAGGGCUCCGCCCCUCGCCCUCCUG